CAGUCGCCACGGUAAUACGAAGGGGGCUAGCGUUGUUCGGAAUUACUGGGCGUAAAGCGCACGUAGGCGGACAUUUAAGUCAGGGGUGAAAUCCCGGGGCUCAACCCCGGAACUGCCUUUGAUACUGGGUGUCUAGAGUAUGGAAGAGGUGAGUGGAAUUCCGAGUGUAGAGGUGAAAUUCGUAGAUAUUCGGAGGAACACCAGUGGCGAAGGCGGCUCACUGGUCCAUUACUGACGCUGAGGUGCGAAAGCGUGGGGAGCAAACAGGAUUAGAGACCCCCGUAGUCCCUGUCUCUUAUAC
rnacentral:rRNA from 1 species